rnacentral:rRNA from 1 species
GAAGCUGGAUUCGCUGUAAUCGCGCAUCAGCCACGGCGCGGUGAAUACGUUCCCGGGCCUUGUACACACCGCCCGUCAAGCCAUGGAAGCCGGGAGUGCCUGAAGUGCGUGAGCGCAAGCAGCGCCCUAAGGUAAAACCGGUGACUGGGGCUAAGUCGUAACAAGGUAUC